rnacentral:rRNA from 1 species
UACGGGGGAGCAAGCGUUGUUCGGAUUUACUGGGCGUAAAGGGCGCGUAGGCGGCGUGACAAGUCACUUGUGAAAUCUCCGGGCUUAACCCGGAGCGGCCAAGUGAUACUGUCGUGCUAGAGUGCGGAAGGGCUACUGGAAUUCUCGGUGUAGCGGUGAAAUGCGUAGAUAUCGAGAGGAACACCUGCGGCGAAGGCGGGUAGCUGGGCCGACACUGACGCUGAGGCGCGAAAGCCAGGGAGGGAACGGG